rnacentral:rRNA from 1 species
AGGUGCUAAUACCGUAUAACAAUCGAAACCGCAUGGUUUUGAUUUGAAAGGCGCUUUCGGGUGUCGCUGAUGGAUGGACCCGCGGUGCAUUAGCUAGUUGGUGAGGUAACGGCUCACCAAGGCCACGAUGCAUAGCCGACCUGAGAGGGUGAUCGGCCACAUUGGGACUGAGACACGGCCCAAACUCCUACGGGAGGCAGCAGUAGGGAAUCUUCGGCAAUGGACGAAAGUCUGACCGAGCAACGCCGCGUGAGUGAAGAAGGUUUUCGGAUCGUAAAACUCUGUUGUUAGAGAAGAACAAGGAUGAGAGUAACUGUUCAUCCCUUGACGGUAUCUAACCAGAAAGCCACGGCUAACUACGUGCCAGCAGCCGCGGUAAUACGUAGGUGGCAAGCGUUGUCCGGAUUUAUUGGGCGUAAAGCGAGCGCAGGCGGUUUCUUAAGUCU